CCCCCGAUCGAUCCGAGA
rnacentral:misc_RNA from 1 species